GAUCCUGGCUCAGGAUGAACGCUGGCGGCGUGCUUAACACAUGCAAGUCGAACGAAGCAACUUGUCACGAUCCCUCGGGGUGACGACUUGUUGACUGAGUGGCGGACGGGUGAGUAACGCGUGGGUAACCUACCUUGUACAGGGGGAUAACAGUUGGAAACGACUGCUAAUACCGCAUAAGCGCACAGCAUCGCAUGAUGCAGUGUGAAAAGUUUUUCGGUAUAAGAUGGACCCGCGUCUGAUUAGCUAGUUGGUGAGGUAACGGCCCACCAAGGCGACGAUCAGUAGCCGACCUGAGAGGGUGACCGGCCACAUUGGGACUGAGACACGGCCCAAACUCCUACGGGAGGCAGCAGUGGGGAAUAUUGCACAAUGGGCGAAAGCCUGAUGCAGCGAACCGCCGCGUGAGCGAAGAAGUAUUUCGGUAUGUAAAGCUCUAUCAGCAGGGAAGAUAAUGACGGUACCUGACUAAGAAGCACCGGCUAAAUACGUGCCAGCAGCAGC
rnacentral:rRNA from 1 species